GACGAACGCUGGCGGCGUGCCUAAUACAUGCAAGUAGAACGCAGUUGCGAACGGGUGAGUAACGCGUAGGUAACUGCCUCAUAGCGGGGGAUAACUAUUGGAAACGAUAGCUAAUACCGCAUACUGUGAGAUGGACCUGCGUUGUAUUAGCUCGUUGGUGAGGUAAAGGAUCACCAAGGCGACGAUACAUAGCCGACCUGAGAGGGGUAGCUGCCACAAUGGGAGUGAGACAAGGCACAGACUCGUACGGGAGGCAGCAGUAGGGAAUCGUCGGCAAUGGACGGAAGUCUGAACGAGCAACGCCGGGGGAGUGAAGAAGGUUUUCGGAUCGUAAAGCUUUGUUGUUAGAGAAGCGGUGACUAACCAGAAAGGGACGGCUAACUACGUGCCAGCAGCCGCGGUAAUUC
rnacentral:rRNA from 1 species